GCUGAAAUGAUGAGGUUUCAUGUCUCUUCUCUGACAAUUCCUGGAGACAAUUAAGACUUCUGAUCUCAGAAUC
rnacentral:snoRNA from 1 species